UACGAAGGGGGCUAGCGUUGUUCGGAAUUACUGGGCGUAAAGCGCGCGUAGGCGGUGAUCUUUGUCAGAGGUGAAAGCCCGGGGCUCAACUCCGGAAUUGCCUUGAAACGGGAUCGCUAGAGUCCGAGAGAGGAUGGCGGAAUUCCUAGUGUAGAGGUGAAAUUCGUAGAUAUUAGGAAGAACACCAGUGGCGAAGGCAGGUCUCUGGGCAUUAACGUGACGCUGAGGAGCGAAAGCAUGGGGAGCGAACAGG
rnacentral:rRNA from 1 species